GUAAAAGGUUGAAAUUGCCUUUUAUACUUUAAUCCUCUAGAUAGGAUCUUCAGGUGCUUUGCUUGUUAGUAUAGAUCAAAACCAAUCAAAAGAUCCUUAUCUAGAAGGUCAGAACCAAUGAUUUUGGUCCAAAGGAUGCAGGUCGGGAAGAACUGAAUACCAAUUGGAUGCUUAGUAAUCAGGUUUGUUUUGAAAAUGUUUCCGUCUGCAGCCUUAAAGUACUCCGUAUAUGGAACUCAACUUUCUGGAGGGAGAAUGGCAAGGUUCAUCAUACUCUUAUGGGCUCCUGUAUAUUAAUGAGCCGCUCAUACUUGCUAGGCAGGAUGUGCAAAGAGACCAAAGGUAUAGGAAUAGUAUUCGGGCUAUGAGUGGAGUGAUUGGACCAGAUGUUUUGGGCUAGGUAAAAAGGGUAAUGGGCUUCAUAACCAAAAUCAGACUCUGAGUCUUCUGAAGAUGGAGACUGGAGUUGGUCAAAGUCAACAUCAUCUAUUCCAAGGCCAAACACAGUUUCUUCAUCUGGCCCUUCCUGUUUUGAGAACAGGGAUUCAACAUCAUCAACAUCUAGAGAUAUGUGGGAAGCUUGUUGAAUGUACUGGAUGAGUUUCACUGCCUUAUUUGGAUUCUUAGGGCAAUUCUUCGCAUAGUGGCCUCGAUUGUUACAAAUAUAACACCGAUCAGACUUUCGAGUGCCCUGUCGUUUCUUUCGAAAAUACUGGACCGGUUUCUUUCCUUUUUGGUGUUUGGAAGAGUAUUUUGGACUUGGGCGGCUUGGAUACUUUUGACGAUGACUCUUUUUCUUUGUUUUGCACACAGUUUUUCUCUUUGCAUUUGAUACCCAAAUGAAACUUUUGACAAACAUGCUUCAAAGUUUUCCUGUUAUCGAUAAUGUCCCUGAACAACUUCUGCUGCUCACACAUUUUUUCUAGGCAAGCCCAUGUCAUUUGGUGAAUUUCACCAAUUGAGAUGGUAUUCAUAUCCUUUCUGGUUGCUGCAAGAGACCGGUGCAAUUCUGGCUGUAAUUCUUCUGGAAGAGAGGCAAU
rnacentral:misc_RNA from 1 species